rnacentral:tRNA from 1 species
UGUGUGUAGCUCAGUGGUUGAGCACUUGGCUAGUAUGCAUGAGGCACUGGGUUUGAUCCUCAGCACUACAG